rnacentral:lncRNA from 10 species
CUCCAGUGCGAAUCACCUGGAGGAAGAAUGGGGUAGAGCUGCCAGAGAGUACCCACUCCACCUUGCUGGCCAAUGGGUCCUUGAUGAUCCGUCACUUCAGGCUGGAGCCGGGAGGCAGCCCUUCGGAUGAAGGUGACUAUGAGUGUGUGGCCCAGAACCGCUUUGGGCUGGUGGUCAGCCGGAAGGCUCGCAUCCAAGCUGCAAAGUCUUGUUCUGUCACCCAGGCUGGAGUGCAGUGGCACGAUCUCGACUGACUGCAACUUCUAUCUCCCGGGUUCAAGCAAUUCUUGUGCCUCAGCUUCCCCAGUAGCUGGGAUUACAGGUGCGCACAAUUACGCCCGGCUAAUUUUUGAAUUUUUUGGUAAAGAUGGGGUUUCACCAUGUUUGCCGGGCUGGUCUCGAACUCUUGGCCUCAAGUGAUCCUCCCGCCUCAGCCUCCCAAAGUGCUGGGAUUACAGGCGUGAGCUCCUGCACCCAGGUCUAGCUAACACUUUUUAAGUACUUGCUGCAUGCUGGGCACCCUGUCCAAGUGCUUUACAUGAAUUACUUCAUUUUGUCAUCACAACAGCCCUGGGAGAAUGGAAGAUAGGUCAUUAUCAUCCCCCUUUUACAGAAGAGAAAACUGAGCCUUAGGGGGACUCAAUGGCAUUCUGGUAGCAGAAGAGCCAGGACUGUCAUCUGGGCAGCCUGAACCCACACCCUCCCACUUAGCUCCCGUGGCACGCCGCCUCUUUCCUGUCUGAUCGCUGACAAGUUUCUUCCUGGCUCUGAGGGCAUUUGCACAGUUGCUCUGAACGGCUGGUGAGUGAUGAAUCAGUUUGAGGCAGGAGCCCUCUCGCUGGGU